rnacentral:rRNA from 1 species
GACGGGGGGGGCAAGCGUUGUUCGGAAUUACUGGGCGUAAAGGGCUCGUAGGCGGCCAACUAAGUCGGACGUGAAAUCCCCAGGCUCAACCUGGGAACUGCGUCCGAUACUGGAUGGCUUGAAUCCGGGAGAGGGAUGCAGAAUUCCAGGUGUAGCGGUGAAAUGCGUAGAUAUCUGGAGGAAUACCGGUGGCGAAGGCGGCGGCCUGGACCGGCAUUGACGCUGAGGAGCGAAAGCCAGGGGAGCAAACGGG